rnacentral:rRNA from 1 species
AUUCCAGCUCCAGUAGCGUAUAUUAAAGUUGUUGCAGUUAAAAAGCUCGUAGUUGGAUUUCUGGUUUCACAGAACUGGCCUACUUCCUCAAGGUCGUGUGCGCCGUGUUUUGUGUACCAUCCUUCUAGAAAUUGUGUUCCAUCCCUUCACUGGGAUAGAUCCGAGAUCUAGAUCUUUUACUUUGAAGAAAUUAGAGUGUUCAAAGCAGGCUCGCGCUGUGAAUACAUUAGCAUGGAAUAAUAAUUUAGGACUUGGUAUCCUAUUUUGUUGGUUUUCAGGGUCUAAGUAAUGAUUGAUAGGGAUAGUUGGGGGUGCUAGUAUUGGCCGGCCAGAGGUGAAAUUCUUGGAUUCGGUCAAGACUAACUUAUGCGAAAGCAUUCACCAAGGAUGUCUUCAUCA